UAUCCUCUCACACAAGUUUUACUCCAAUCCAACUAGUAGAUUGCAUGAAAUCUUAAAAACUCUCACUAGACCUAAAAUUAUACUUUCUGAGUCCUUAACUCACUUAAACCUCAAUAUCUUUCAAUUCAACCGUUAGAUCAAGCUUAAAUUCACAACAUGUAUUCAACACAACUAUAAACAUGAACCCAAAAAAAUUCACCCGUAGAUCUGCAACAAAACUCUCGAAAUCACUCAAAACAUAAACCCUAUUUUAUUUCAUAAAACCCAAGUCAUCCGAAAAAAAACUCAACUUUGCAAAGCUCUUACAAAUUCAUAUCAACUCCAAAUCACCCAAAAUAAACGCCCAUAGAAACCCUAACCAACCUUCUCUCCAACCCCACUCUCCAAACUUCCAAAGAGUCCCGGAGUCAUCAUCGAUACUCGGUUUUGUGCCUCAGGGUUUGAUUUCGACCCUGGUUCAUAACCGGCCCUCUCCGGAUAUCAAUAUCUAUUUUUUCUAAGUAAUUUUUUCUAGAAUUUACUCUUAACUUUCUUCUUAAUAUUCUUAUAUCAUUUAUUUUUCCAAUCUACUUUGAUUUGCCUUACUUAUGGUACUACAAAGUAAAUAGAAGUCACCUUUCUAAAAGGCUACAUUGAUACCUUUUAAUUUUUCUACCCCUUUGGCUAUUAACUAUAUUUCUAAGAUAAUUUGUUCUAAUACUUUGAACUAAGAUUUUUUAAAUUAUAAUAAUCUCCACACUCUUUCACCUAUUAAUCGUAUUACAUCACAAAAUCGGAAAACGAAUUUAUCCAGCUACA
rnacentral:lncRNA from 1 species